UCCCUGGUGGCUCAGACAGUACAGAAUCCACCUGUGAUGUGGGAGACCUAGGUUCAAUUCCUGGGUUGGGAA
rnacentral:tRNA from 1 species